GGCUCUUUGAAGAUAUUUAAUAAGGAGUCAGACCUGCCCAGUGAAAAGUUUUAACGGCCGCGGUACUCUGACCGUGCAAAGGUAGCAUAAUCAUUUGCCUUAUAAUUGAAGGCUAGUAUGAAUGGUUUGACAAGAGUAUUACUGUCUCUACAUAAUUUUAUAGAAUUUUAUUUUGAAGUGAAGAAGCUUGAAUGAUAUUAAUAGACAAGAAGACCCUAUCGAGCUUUAAAGAAUUUAAUAAAAGUAUAAUAAUAAUGCUAAAAAAUUAUUUAUUAAAAAUUUUGGUUGGGGCGACUUAGGAACAUAGAAAGCUUCCUAAAUUUUUAUAUAAUACAAUUGAUCCAAAAUUUUUUGAUUAAAGAAAUUAGUUACCGUAGGGAUAACAGCAUUAUCUUCUUUAAGAGUUCAUAUCGAAAAGAAGGUUUGUGACCUCGAUGUUGGACCAGAAUGUCCUAAAGAUGUAGCAGUCUUUAAGGGUUGGUCUGUUCGACCAUUAAAAUUCUACG
rnacentral:rRNA from 1 species